AGCGUACAAGUAUUAAUACGCUUCAACAACCAGUCGGUCAACGCGGGUCAAACCCUUUAAAGGGUUGUUGCAGCGUACAAAUUAAUUGCCCCCUGCAAAAGAGAUUUUUGCAGCGUACAUAGUAAAAGCCCCCUGCAAUAGACCUUUUAUUUUGCAGCGUACAUGGUAAAAGCCCCCUGCAAUAACAUAUUUGUAAUUUUUUUCGCUGCAACUUUAACUCAGACCAAACAUUUCUACCUCAAACCUCAUGACCAAUUUCGCAGCGAAUAUCCCACUCUCAUUACUCCCUUCUUCUUCUCUCGGCUUACCCUGCGUCUCGCCGGUGGUUCUCACCAGUGGUCGUCGCCGCGUGGUCUCGCCCGUCGCCGGUGGUACUCUAGCAAGAGUCUAUUUAAUUUCCUCACCUCUCACCGGUGGUUCCCUGCUCGAAAAACCCCCGCAAAAGGUAUUCCCUGCUCGAAAAAACAACCGGCGAAGUGAUUCCCUGCUCGGAAAACUAAGCUUCUUUGCUCGGCCGGUUCGCGAACCCUGUUCUCCGUCAAUCCUCGCUGCGGCAAGUAACUUUCUCCCCUGUCCCUUUUUAUUUUCGUUUUCAAAAUUAGGGUUUGUUCAUUUUUCAUUUUUGCAGAGAAAGCCAAAGAAAUUGUUGGCUGACAAGAUUAGGAGAAAAUACAUACGUUUAUCUCGGAGACUUCCUCCACCCUUUUGAAGGGCGCAUAUACCAGUAAAAAACCGUACUGUUAUAAUACUCGAGACAGAUACUGGAGAACAAUACGAAGCCAAUUAUCUGCCUCAAUAUCGUGGACUCAGUGGUGGGUGGAAAAGGUUUGCCAUAGUUCUGAAAUUGGAAGGAGAUACUGUUGUUUUUCAACUAGUUGAACCUGCCAAAUUUAAGUCUACCUCUUCUAGAAUCAAAUCACUAAACUAGUUGAAGCUGAGGAUAAAAGCUGCUAAUGAAGCUGAGGCGGCUUGCCAACGGCGUCUCUCUGUUGCUGAGGCUGAAAUAGCUGAUUUAAGAUCCAAAUUGGAUACUACUGAAAGCAUGGAAGGCAAGCAUUCGUUUCUGUGCCUAGCACUUUUCCUGUGCCUGGAGAAGAACUGAUGUUUUGAUGAUUGUAAGAGGGGCAAGGAGAAGCUUAUUUGUGAUGCUGCUCAAGUACUGCUUUAUUUCGGAGUUGAACA